rnacentral:rRNA from 1 species
GAUGAACGCUAGCGGGAGGCCUAACACAUGCAAGCCGAGCGGUAUUGUUUCUUCGGAAAUGAGAGAGCGGCGUACGGGUGCGUAACACGUGUGCAACCUGCCUUUAUCUGGGGGAUAGCCUUUCGAAAGGAAGAUUAAUACUCCAUAAUAUAUCGAACGGCAUCGUUUAAUAUUGAAAGCUCCGGCGGAUAGAGAUGGGCACGCGCAAGAUUAGCUAGUUGGUGAGGUAACGGCUCACCAAGGCGAUGAUCUUUAGGGGGCCUGAGAGGGUGAUCCCCCACACUGGUACUGAGACACGGACCAGACUCCUACGGGAGGCAGCAGUGAGGAAUAUUGGUCAAUGGGUGCAAGCCUGAACCAGCCAUCCCGCGUGAAGGACGACUGCCCUAUGGGUUGUAAACUUCUUUUGUAUAGGGAUAAACCUACCCUCGAGAGGGUAGCUGAAGGUACUAUACGAAUAAGCACCGGCUAACUCCGUG